UACGGGGGAUGCAAGCGUUAUCCGGAAUCAUUGGGCGUAAAGCGCCUGUAGGUUGUUUAAUAAGUCUGUUGUUAAAGACUAGGGCUUAACCCUAGAAAAGCAAUGGAAACUACUAGACUUGAGUAUGGCAGGGGUAGAGGGAAUUUCUAGUGUAGCGGUGAAAUGCGUAGAUAUUAGAAAGAACACCAGUGGCGAAAGCGCUCUACUGGACCAUUACUGACACUCAGAGGCGAAAGCUAGGGUAGCAAAAGGGAUUAGAUACCCCUGUAGUCCUAGCCGUAAACGAUGGAUACUAGAUGUUGUGAAAAUCUUACAGUAUCGUAGCUAACGCGUUAAGUAUCCCGCCUGGGGAGUACGCUCGCAAGGGUG
rnacentral:rRNA from 1 species